GGACGGGUGAGUAACACGUAGGAAUCUAUCCCGGGGUGGGGGAUAACAGUGGGAAACUACUGCUAAUACCGCAUGAUACCUGAGGGUCAAAGGCGCAAGUCGCCUGGGGAGGAGCCUGCGUCUGAUUAGCUUGUUGGUGGGGUAAAGGCCUACCAAGGCUACGAUCAGUAGCUGGUCUGAGAGGAUGAUCAGCCACAUUGGGACUGAGACACGGCCCAAACUCCUACGGGAGGCAGCAGUGGGGAAUAUUGGACAAUGGGGGAAACCCUGAUCCAGCAAUGCCGCGUGUGUGAAGAAGGUCUUCGGAUUGUAAAGCACUUUUGGCAGGGACGAUGAUGACGGUACCUGCAGAAUAAGCCCCGGCUAACUUCGUGCCAGCAGCCGCGGUAAUACGAAGGGGGCUAGCGUUGCUCGGAAUGACUGGGCGCAAAGGGCGCGUAGGCGGCAUAGACAGUCAGAAGUGAAAUUCCUGGGCUCAACCUGGGGACUGCUUUUGAUACGUCUAAGCUAGAGUGGAGAAGAGGGUUGUGGAAUUUCCAGUGUAGAGGUGAAAUUCGUAGAUAUUGGAAAGAACACCG
rnacentral:rRNA from 1 species